rnacentral:rRNA from 1 species
GAUGAACGCUAGCGGCAGGCUUAACACAUGCAAGUCGAGGGGCAGCGGGGAGGAAGCUUGCUUUCUCCGCCGGCGACCGGCGCACGGGUGAGUAACACGUAUGCAACCUGCCCCUGUCAGGGGGACAACCCGCCGAAAGGCGGGCUAAACCCGCGUACAUGCCACCGGGGCAUCCCGGAGGCAGGAAAGGCUUCGGCCGGACAGGGAUGGGCAUGCGGCGCAUUAGGCAGUAGGCGGGGUAACGGCCCACCUAACCGACGAUGCGUAGGGGUUCUGAGAGGAAGGUCCCCCACACUGGUACUGAGACACGGACCAGACUCCUACGGGAGGCAGCAGUGAGGAAUAUUGGUCAAUGGUCGGGAGACUGAACCAGCCAAGCCGCGUGAGGGAUGAAGGUACAGAGUAUCGUAAACCUCUUUUGUCAGGGAACAAAGGCGGGGACGCGUCCCCGGAUGAGUGUACCUGAAGAAAAAGCAUCGGCUAACUCCGUGCCAGCAGCCGCGGUAAUACGGAGGAUGCGAGCGUUAUCCGGAUUUAUUGGGUUUAAAGGGUGCGCAGGCGGUCUGUUAAGUCAGCGGUCAAAGCCCGGGGCUCAACCCCGGCCCGCCGUUGAAACUGGCAGUCUCGAGUUGGAGAGAAGUAUGCGGAAUGCGCGGUGUAGCGGUGAAAUGCAUAGAUAUCGCGCAGAACUCCGAUUGCGAAGGCAGCAUGCCGGCUCCACACUGACGCUGAGGCACGAAAGCGUGGGUAUCGAACAGGAUUAGAUACCCUGGUAGUCCACGCAGUAAACGAUGAAUGCUGGCUGUCCGGGGGGACUGACCCCUGGGUGGCGAAGCGAAAGCGAUAAGCAUUCCACCUGGGGAGUGCGCCGGCAACGGUGAAACUCAAAGGAAUUGACGGGGGCCCGCACAAGCGGAGGAACAUGUGGUUUAAUUCGAUGAUACGCGAGGAACCUUACCCGGGCUCAAACGGGGAGUGACUCAGGCAGAGACGCCUGUUUCCCACGGGACACUCCCCGAGGUGCUGCAUGGUUGUCGUCAGCUCGUGCCGUGAGGUGUCGGCUUAAGUGCCAUAACGAGCGCAACCCCCGCGUGCAGUUGCUAACAGAUAACGCUGAGGACUCUGCACGGACUGCCGGCGCAAGCCGCGAGGAAGGCGGGGAUGACGUCAAAUCAGCACGGCCCUUACGUCCGGGGCGACACACGUGUUACAAUGGGUGGUACAGCGGGAAGCCGGGCGGCGACGCCGAGCGGAACCCGAAAUCCACUCUCAGUUCGGAUCGGAGUCUGCAACCCGACUCCGUGAAGCUGGAUUCGCUAGUAAUCGCGCAUCAGCCAUGGCGCGGUGAAUACGUUCCCGGGCCU